rnacentral:rRNA from 1 species
CAGGCCUAACACAUGCAAGUCGAGCGCUUGGGGUGUUCCCUUACGGGAAACCCCCUGGAGCGGCGGACGGGUGAGUAACACGUAGGCAACCUGCCUGUAAGAUCGGGAUAACUACCGGAAACGGUAGCUAAGACCGGAUAGCUGGUUUCUCCGCAUGGAGGGAUCAUGAAACAUGGGGCAACCUAUGGCUUACGGAUGGGCCUGCGGCGCAUUAGCUAGUUGGUGGGGUAACGGCCCACCAAGGCGACGAUGCGUAGCCGACCUGAGAGGGUGAUCGGCCACACUGGGACUGAGACACGGCCCAGACUCCUACGGGAGGCAGCAGUAGGGAAUCUUCCGCAAUGGGCGCAAGCCUGACGGAGCAACGCCGCGUGAGUGAUGAAGGUUUUCGGAUCGUAAAGCUCUGUUGCCAAGGAAGAACGCCUCGGAGAGUAACUGCUCUGAGGGUGACGGUACUUGAGAAGAAAGCCCCGGCUAACUACGUGCCAGCAGCCGCGGUAAUACGUAGGGGGCAAGCGUUGUCCGGAAUUAUUGGGCGUAAAGCGCGCGCAGGCGGUCUUUUAAGUUUGGUGUUUAAGCCCGGGGCUCAACCCCGGUUCGCACUGAAAACUGGGAGACUUGAGUGCAGGAGAGGAAAGCGGAAUUCCACGUGUAGCGGUGAAAUGCGUAGAGAUGUGGAGGAACACCAGUGGCGAAGGCGGCUUUCUGGACUGUAACUGACGCUGAGGCGCGAAAGCGUGGGGAGCAAAC